AGCGAACGCUGGCGGCAGGCCUAACACAUGCAAGUCGAACGAACUCUUCGGAGUUAGUGGCGGACGGGGGAGUAACACGUGGGAACGUGCCUGUUGGUUCGGAGUACCUCAGGGAAACUUGUGCUAAUACAGAAUGUGCCCUUCGGGGGAAAGAUGUCUCGCCAUUAGAGCGGCCCGCGUCUGCUUCGCUGGUUGGUGAGGUAACGGCUGACCAAGGCGACGAUCAGUAGCUGGUCGGAGAGGAUGACCAGCCACACUAGGACUGAGACACGGCCCAGACGCCUACGGGAGGCAGCAGUGGGUAAUCCUGCGCAAUGGGCGAAAGCCUGACGCAGCCAUGCCGGGUGAAUGAUGAAGGUCUUAGGAUUGUAAAAUUCUUUCAGCGGGGACGAUAAUGACGGUACCCGGAGAAGAAGCCCCGGCUAACUUCGUG
rnacentral:rRNA from 1 species